AGAGCACAGCACUCAUAAUGCUGGGGUCACAGGUUCGAUUCCCGUCGUAGCCACCAUCUUUUUUUAUGUAUGCG
rnacentral:tRNA from 1 species